CCUACGGGGGGCAGCAGUGGGGAAUAUUGGACAAUGGGGGCAACCCUGAUCCAGCCAUGCCGCGUGUGUGAAGAAGGCCCUCGGGUUGUAAAGCACUUUCAGUGAGGAAGAACGCCUGGUGGUUAAUACCCAUCAGGAAAGACAUCACUCACAGAAGAAGCACCGGCUAACUCCGUGCCAGCAGCCGCGGUAAUACGGAGGGUGCGAGCGUUAAUCGGAAUUACUGGGCGUAAAGCGCGCGUAGGUGGCUUGAUAAGCCGGUUGUGGAAGCCCCGGGCUCAACCUGGGAACGGCAUCCGGAACUGUCAAGCUAGAGUGCAGGAGAGGAAGGUAGAAUUCCCGGUGUAGCGGUGAAAUGCGUAGAGAUCGGGAGGAAUACCAGUGGCGAAGGCGGCCUUCUGGACUGACACUGACACUGAGGUGCGAAAGCGUGGGUAGCAAACAGGAUUAGAUACCCCGGUAGUC
rnacentral:rRNA from 1 species